rnacentral:lncRNA from 1 species
AUAAAAACCCUCCCCCACCUCAAAAAAAAACCUCCUUUUAGAUGCUCUGGAUUUGUUAAAAUUCAGAGAUUUACAAAAAAAAAAAUUAACACACACAGAAAAAAUAUAAAAAUAAAAAUAAACCAACCCCAAAUUUGGGUUUUGGGACACACCGAGUCUUCCAGGCACUCAGCAGGGAGGUCCCCGAGGGUCGUGUCCCCAAUUUGGGGCUGGCGGUGGCCGCGGGGACGCCGGAGCCCGGUGGGUUUUAGGGGGGAAGGCAGCGGCGUCCCCGGUGUCACCUCCGUGUCCCCUGGGGUGACCGGGAGGGGAGGGCUCGGUGGUCCCAAAAGCCGAGACCCCCAGGGAGGCAUUAAACAAAAAAUUCUUGUGGUGCUAAGAGGGGAGGACAGGGAGAUUCGUCCUGACCCUCGACCGUCUCCGAACCUUUCCGAGCUUGCCAGGGAAAAGGGCCCGGAGCUCCGCCGGGACACCGGGGUGGCACUGGGGUGGCCCCAGGGUGUCACCUGUCCUGUGUCAGGGCACUGGGAUGUCCCCAGAAUGUCACCUGUCCUGUGCCAGGGCACCGGGGUGGCCCCAGGAUGUCACCUGUCCAGUGCCAGGGCACUGGGAUCUCCUCAGGAUGUCACCUGUCCUGUGCCAGGACACCGGGACCUCCCUGGGAUGUCACCUGUCCUGUGCCAGGACACUGGGAUGUCCCCAGAAUGUCACCUGUCCUGUGCCAGGGCACCGGGGUGGCCCCAGGAUGUCACCUGUCCUGUGUCAGGGCACUGGGAUGUCCCCAGGAUGUCACCUGCCCUGUGCCAGGACACUGGGACCUCUCCAGGAUGUCCCCAGGGUGUCCCCAGGGUGUCCCCAGGAUGUCACCUGUCCUGUGCCAGGGCACUGGGAUGUCCCCAGGAUGUCACCUGUCCUGUGCCAGGACACCGGGGUGGCCCUGGGGUGGCCCCGGGGUGUCACCUGUCCUGUGCCAGGACACUGGGACCUCUCCAGGAUGUCCCCAGGAUGUCCCCAGGGUGUCCCCAGGGUGUCCCCUACCCUUUGCCCAGCAUGUCCCCGAGAUGUCCCCUGCCCUGUGCCAGCCACCGGGAUGUCCCCAGGAGGGUCCCCGGUGCCACCUCCUUGUUCCCGAGCCCUCACCCAGGUGGCGACACCCGGAGCUCUCCGGAAGCCACCAGGGCUGCGUGGCCUGUCCCUGUCCCCGGCUGCCACCCCGCUGUCCCAACCGGGACGGGAGCGCCUCGUCGGGAUAAAAAAAUCCCGGGAGAACCAAAAUCCCGGGAAUUCCGGGCUCGGUGAGCCCGGGCACCUGCCCGAGCCCUCACCUGUGUCACCGCGGGUGCCACCGCACCUGGCAGGUGUCCCCAGCCCCGCAGGGGGAACGCCGAGCUCAGGUCCUGCCCCUCGGCCGUGUCCCCGUGAUGUCACCGAUGUCACCCCCGAGGCAGCGCCCGUGUCCCCAGGUCUGCCCUGCCAGCCCCGCUGCGUCCUCAGGUGUCACCCUCGGCCCCCAAAUCCUCUGUGACAGAGCCCCCCAUGGUCACCUGCCCGCAAUCUGCCCUCCUGUGCCCCCCAAAUCCGCCCUCCUGUGCCCCCCAAAUCCAUCCCCCUGUGCCCCCCAAAUCUAUCCCACAUGUGCCCCGCAAAUCCAUCUCAUCUGUGCCCCCAAAUCUGUCCCCCUGUGCCCCAAAUCCAGCCCCCUGUGCCCCAAAUCUGCCC